UGAAAAUGGUUAUAAACUGCAUCCAUAGUGGGCUCUGUGAGGCUACCCUGAAAAUAGGGUAUCUUACUUAGGAUAUGAUGAAGAAGAAGAAACAAACUUGACUUUGAAGAAGCUAUUGUAAUUUAUUUCCGAAGAUGACAACAAAUUACUUUGUGUUUGCAGUAAUCUGUGGUUGCUCAUUGUAGUUAUGUAAUUGAUCAUGCAAAUAUCAAAAUAUUAUUUAUAUAGUGACCAAAGCAUACUUGGCAGAAGUUCACAACAAAAAACAGAGAGAGCUCCUGUUCUUAAAUACUCUUUCAUAUUGGCAAGACACACAGGAAGAAGUCAUCCUCUUUCUCCAGCAUUCACUGACAUUAACAUUUAGAUGAAGCAUAGCGUUUCUCUGUGCACCUUGCCAGCAUCUACCUCGGCUGAAGCCUCAAGUCAUUUGAAGACACCCUCUUUCACCUUUAUAAGAGAGGGGAAAUAUAACAAAUGGAUAGAGUGUUUGAAAAGCCUCAAUGGAAGAUUUCUUCAAAGAAAAAAAAAGAGGGAAGAAAUCAGCAGCUAACAAACAGAAGGUGUGAAUGAAGAAGCCUCUUUUUUGUUAAGACAACCAUGAUGUGCAGAGAAGAGUGGGAGAGCACAGGAAGGUGAUUUCCAACAGCCAAUCAUUUCAAUCAACACCUAUUGACUAUUACAACAUAUCAGUACUUAUCCCCAGCUGGGAAGUUCUUCAUUAUCAUUCCUCUUCAGUCCAUUUGCUUAUAUGGACCUUGAGACCCCAAAACAUGUAUAAGUUCCUACCUUUUCUUAAAAAAAAAAAAUCCACAACACUUUGUCAUCCACUUUUUAAUUCUCAUUUUAUCCAGGGGAGAUCUCAAUCCACAAGCUGUACAUAGCUCUUCACAUCACUGUUUCUUAGUGGCUUGGAAGAACUGCUGCCUUGAUGCUGAGAUUAGCAACAGUGCCAGUCACAGGACAGCCCUUGGGCUUGACAUGAUGUUUGAGCUGGGAUAUAUACAAGUAGGUUGAAACUUUUCCUCUUCUGCCUCAUUCUGCAAAAAGAGAGCCACCAAUGUGCUUUGCUCCUCUGCUAUGGGCUUCUACAGGAAAACCUCAGCAAGAUUUUGUCCACGUGUGAAAUGCAGCAUCAGAUCUCAGCUUUCUUAAGGGAUGUGUUACAUUGUAAAAAAAAAAACCCAAAAGCAAACAACAUACAGAGGCAUGGGUGGUACUUGUUGUAGUGUUUCACAACUCGGACAAAACUGUCUGAUGAAAAGCUAUACAGAAGUGUGUCCAGCAACCCUGACUUAUGGUUAGCAGAAUAGGUACAACGUGCUCUAGUUUCUGGAAAUCAUGCUAGCUUUAGAUUUGCUAACCCACAUGAAAAAAAAAAAAAAAGAAAGAAAAGUUUAACCAUGUGACACAAAAUAGCCAUUGUUUCAUCUGUUUUCCAUACAGCAUUACUGAAACAAGUCUUGUAAGUCACCUUGUGGCAGACUGCUUUAAGCAAUACUCCAUUAAAUAUUUGUCAGAUGAGGGUUGUUUGGAAAGUGUGAAAAUCCUGUUCCAGCUGCCUGCCCUUUGCAGCUGAUAAGUCCAAUCUGCCUGCCCAAGAGAACACCUAUCUAUCUGGUUUGUCUCUGAAGAAUGUGGAAGAAUUUUUAUAGUGAACUCUCUAUCUUCUAUCUCUCAGACAAUCCUGUUGAGACCUCUGAUCCCUACUUUCACCCUUUACUUUACUUUGAGUUCAGAUGACCUGGGACAAAACCAAGCAUGGAACAGGUUUGCUGCAGGCAAACAGGUGUCACAAAUUCAUCAAUGAUCUUCCCUGGAAAAAAAAAAAAAAACAAAACAAAACUUUUUAUGCAGGUUCUAAUGGAGUAGAUUGAAGAGAUUGCAGGAACAGUUUCCAAGCUCUAAAAUGCAGUGGUCUGCUCUCACCCUACUCCACCCACCUCUCAAAAGAAGCUGGGCAGCUAGUGCUUGUCUCAGGUGCAAACAGCCUGCUGUGAGCUGAGAUCUGAGCCAGUGUGUCUUCAGGAUCCUUCAUUUGCUCAGGUCAGCAACAGCAGAAAGGAAUGGUACCUUUGCAAGGAUGGUAUCACUCAGGUGCGUCUUUCCUGAUCUACUUUUAGACACAGCUGUGUAUGUUUCAAUAGUGACUUAAAGGUCUGACUCUUGUGCACUUCACUGCUAUAUUCAGUCUUCAUCAUGGACCAUUUGUAAAUGCCCACAGGGAAAAGAUGAACAUAUCUGCCUCUUUAUCCCAUGGAACUGGGCUUUGAAACAAAGCAACUUUGACAAAUAGCAGGUUGCAUUUGAUCUGUCUUUCAGAAGAUCUGGGACCUUGGCUAGCAGUACACAAAGCCCUUGCUUUGAAAUGAAUGCAGAACAGCCAUCAGGAGCUACAGUUAGGACUUACACUGCUGUAGGUGAACAUAUCACAUAAAUAAGUAGAGAAAUAUUGAGAACAAGGAUGAAGUACGUUGAUCUCAGGCUUAGCUGUGGACCUCCAUGUGUCAAACAGCAACUGUGAGGAGAAUAAUUUCCCAGUAUGUCUUCAUAAAGUCAUGAAUCAUAAUGUAUCUGACCUUCUGUGGGCAUUUUAAUAGCUUCUUAAAACAGGGCUAAGUGAACAUCAGGCUGGGAUGUGGUGUUGACAUUCCUUAAGAAGUAGGUGAAGCAAACCCAAGGAUGGAUGGGGAUGCCAGC